rnacentral:rRNA from 1 species
AGCGGCGGACGGGUGAGUAACGCGUGAGCAAUCUGCCCUGUGGAGGGGGAUAGCCUCUGGAAACGGAGAUUAAUACCGCAUGACACUGCUUUAUCGCAUGAUAUAGCAGUCAAAACUACGGUGCCACAGGAUGAGCUCGCGUCUCAUUAGCUAGUUGGUGGGGUAAAGGCCUACCAAGGCGACGAUGAGUAGCCGACCUGAGAGGGUGAUCGGCCACACUGGAACUGAGACACGGUCCAGACUCCUACGGGAGGCAGCAGUGGGGAAUAUUGCGCAAUGGGGGAAACCCUGACGCAGCAACGCCGCGUGAGUGAUGAAGGCUUUCGAGUCGUAAAACUCUGUCUUUGGGGACGAAUA